rnacentral:rRNA from 1 species
UUACACAUGCAAGUCGAACGGUAGAGGGAGCAACCCCUUGAGAGUGGCGAACGGGUGAGUAAUAUAUCGGAACGUGCCCAGUCGUGGGGGAUAACGUAGCGAAAGUUACGCUAAUACCGCAUACGAUCUACGGAUGAAAGCGGGGGAUCGCAAGACCUCGCGCGACUGGAGCGGCCGAUAUCAGAUUAGGUAGUUGGUGGGGUAAAGGCUCACCAAGCCAACGAUCUGUAGCUGGUCUGAGAGGACGACCAGCCACACUGGAACUGAGACACGGUCCAGACUCCUACGGGAGGCAGCAGUGGGGAAUUUUGGACAAUGGACGCAAGUCUGAUCCAGCCAUUCCGCGUGCAGGAUGAAGGCCCUCGGGUUGUAAACUGCUUUUGUACGGAACGAAAAGGUCUCUCCUAAUACGAGAGGCUCAUGACGGUACCGUAAGAAUAAGCACCGGCUAACUGCGUGCCAGCAGCCGCGGUAAUACGUAGGGUGCAAGCGUUAAUCGGAAUUACUGGGCGUAAAGCGUGCGCAGGCGGUUAUAUAAGACAGAUGUGAAAUCCCCGGGCUCAACCUGGGAACUGCAUUUGUGACUGUAUAGCUAGAGUACGGUAGAGGGGGAUGGAAUUCCGCGUGUAGCAGUGAAAUGCGUAGAUAUGCGGAGGAACACCGAUGGCGAAGGCAAUCCCCUGGACCUGUACUGACGCUCAUGCACGAAAGCGUGGGGAGCAAACAGGAUUAGAUACCCUGGUAGUCCACGCCCUAAACGAUGUCAACUGGUUGUUGGGUCUUAACUGACUCAGUAACGAAGCUAACGCGUGAAGUUGACCGCCUGGGGAGUACGGCCGCAA